GACGAACGCUGGCGGCGUGCUUAACACAUGCAAGUCGAACGAAGAGCGAUGGAAGCUUGCUUCUAUCAAUCUUAGUGGCGAACGGGUGAGUAACGCGUAAUCAACCUGCCCUUCAGAGGGGGACAACAGUUGGAAACGACUGCUAAUACCGCAUACGAUCUAACCUCGGCAUCGAGGAUAGAUGAAAGGUGGCCUCUACAUGUAAGCUAUCACUGCAGGAGGGGAUUGCGUCUGAUUAGCUAGUUGGAGGGGUAACGGCCCACCAAGGCGAUGAUCAGUAGCCGGUCUGAGAGGAUGAGCGGCCACAAUGGGACUGAGACACGGCCCAGACUCCUACGGGAGGCAGCAGUGGGGAAUCUUCCGCAAUGGACGAAAGUCUGACGGAGCAACGCCGCGUGAGUGAUGACGGCCUUCGGGUUGUAAAGCUCUGUUAAUCGGGACGAAAGGCCUUCUUGCGAAUAGUGAGAAGGAUUGACGGUACCGGAAUAGAAAGCCACGGCUAACUACGUG
rnacentral:rRNA from 1 species